rnacentral:rRNA from 1 species
UACGUAGGUGGCAAGCGUUAUUCGGAAUUAUUGGGCGUAAAGGGCGCGUAGGCGGCUUGACAAGUCAAAGGUGAAAUCCCUCGGCUCAACUGAGGAACUGCCUUUGAAACUGUCUGGCUUGAGGCCGGGAGAGGGUAGCGGAAUUCCCAGUGUAGCGGUGAAAUGCGUAGAUGCUGGGAGGAACACCGGUGGCGAAGGCGACUACCUGGACCGGUUCUGACGCUGAUGCGCGAAAGCGUGGGUAGCAAACAGG